GCUGGGCAUGGUGGCGCAUGCCCGUAAUCCCAGCUACUCAGGAGGCUGAGGCAGGAGAAUGGCGUGAACCCAGGAGGCGGAGCUUGCAGUGAGCUGAGAGCGCGCCAUUGCACUCCAGCCUGGGUGACAGUGCAAGAUUCUGUCUCAA
rfam:Homo sapiens chromosome 11, GRCh38 reference primary assembly.